AGUCGUUUAUCUUAGCCAAACUAUGUAUUUUCUUAUAAACCUCACAGUGACCGACUUCAUGACCAGCUUCUUCAUUCUGAUUGUCAUACACAAAAAAAUUAGAAUGAUAAAUGUAAAAUAUAUGAAAGAAAUGUUUUUUUACCAUUCUUUCAUGAGUGGCCGCAACUGAACAAGAUCCACCCGUGUAUGGCAUGUAAUCUGGAUUGUUUGUCCUAUUUUCUGAUGCUUUUUCGGAUCUUUUUUGCCAAUCUUCUUUUAACCAAAUUUCUAUCAUUUCACUCCAUACUUCCGCAGAAAGGUAUAUCGGUGGAAAUCUAGCGCAAGAUCUGGUUAGUUUGUCAACUUUGGCCAAUUUCUUUGCCUCUUGUCUCGCUUUAUACAACCAACGACAUGUAUAAUUUAGUUGUACAUAAUUAUCAAAACAUUCACGAGCCAAUUGAAUGUCCUCAAAUGAGAAAUAGCACUACAUAAAGACAAAAACAUUACAUAUGGAAAAAAAUGACAUAUGGAAAAUAUGACAAAUAAAUAAAUAAGUCAUACCAGACAUUUGACGAAAAGAUUUUCCUUUUCCUCUUCUUUCCAAGAAGUCUAUUUAGUUAAAGGUGACGUUAUAUUACCUUUUACUAAUAUUCCUAUUUGACUUCUUACAUUGUUUGUAAAAGUC
rnacentral:lncRNA from 1 species